UGGGGAAUUUUGGACAAUGGCGCAAGCCUGAUCCAGCCAUGCCGCGUGCAGGAUGAAGGCCUUCGGGUUGUAAACUGCUUUUGUACGGAGCGAAAAGGUCUGCCCUAAUACGGUGGGCUCAUGACGGUACCGUAAGAAUAAGCACCGGCUAACUACGUGCCAGCAGCCGCGGUAAUACGUAGGGCGCAAGCGUUAAUCGGAAUUACUGGGCGUAAAGCGUGCGCAGGCGGUUAUGCAAGACAGAGGUGAAAUCCCCGGGCUCAACCUGGGAACUGCCUUUGUGACUGCAUAGCUAGAGUACGGUAGAGGGGGAUGGAAUUCCGCGUGUAGCAGUGAAAUGCGUAGAUAUGCGGAGGAACACCGAUGGCGAAGGCAAUCCCCUGGACCUGUACUGACGCUCAUGCACGAAAGCGUGGGGAGCAAACA
rnacentral:rRNA from 1 species